UCAAAGAACUUCAUCCAAUUAUUUCUGUGUUGACUUCUAUUUGAACCAGUACAUCAUUAAAGAAAUCUGGACUUGAUUCAAAGACUUCAAACAAGAGACUCUACAACAUCUUUAGACAAGGUUCCCUUUGUUUAAUUGCCCUUACUGCUAAAAUUUUACACCCUUAUAUAUAAGUCUGGAUUUAUCUGGCUGCUUCUCCCAGCUGAGGAAUUUUAUUAAGGCUUGUUUUCUUAGAUUAAAAGAACCAUCUACUAACAGAAAACUCUGCCUAUGCACAUACCAGAGCAUGAAUGGAAUGGGGUCCUAGCAUGUCCCAGCAAACCAGGAGAUGGAUCCUCAGAUGGUGUAAAAUGAGAUUGACCUCAGCGAUCUCAGUGAAACAAUGAUGCUUUACACUAACUCUGGCUCAAGUUUUUCAUAAGGCCUGCCUCAAGAAGGAGAUGCUGGCAUAUUUGUACCUCUCAGGCAGAAUUUUCAAAAGAGAGGGACCUAAGAAGUCACACAGGCAAGAGGGUAACCACCUUUGAAGUGGAACGUGGCAACUGUGACAUAGAAUAAGUCCUUCUAAAUGUAUUGAAUGUCCAAGAAGUGAUGCAGCUCAGGAGACAGGCUGCAUGAAGCCAAUACAAACUUCUGGGUGGCAGCCUAGGAAUAAGCCAGCCAUAAGACCCUUGCAAGGACAGUAGCAAAAACUUUUCCCUCUUACUGUAAAUAGUUCUGUGUGUAGGUUCCUGUACAAUAUAAAGAGCUUUUGACACACCACUAGGCUCAUGAAGAUACCACAGCAUUUAUGUAAGAACACAAACUAAGGUUAAUACAGAUCAGAAGGAGAAAGAUGUACCAUUUAUGCUGCCUAAAAUUAGACCUCCUUCUGCAAACAUAACACAGAGUCAUCUUUCAAGUGAAGUCUUUAUCCUUCCUCAAAGGAAAAGCCCAUAUCCCUCCAAAAUAGGCUUUCCUGGAAGAAUAUCCUGUUUUUUGAGAAAUGCUGAGAUGCGUUAAUAGUUCAGUCAAAAUCCUUUUCACUUUAUAUAAAAAAAAAAAAAAAGACAUGUUAAAGUGCAAAAUGUAAAUAAAUCUUUUUGAACAUGACUAUUCAAAUGAUAGGGCCAAGUCACUAGCACUAUUAAGUGCUACUGUAAUGUGAUUGUAAUGUGUGUAACAGCAGGAGGAACCAGGGGGGGCAAUCUGCAGAGCUUUGCUGACUGUUAAUUUGGACUACAACUCCCAAAAUCCCCCAGGUGCUGGGGGGGCAGGGAAAAAGGAGAAGUAAGUUUGAGGCUGGGGACAGGGACGAGCCUGAACAUGGAACCUAGUCAGACCUAUGCAGAGGAGUGCUCAAUGGAGCUGGAGAUUUCACUAGCUUGCAUGGGCGACUGGUGACUUCCAAGUCUGGGGGGCACCAGGUUGCUGACAGGGGGGCCCUCACGGCCAAUUGCCAACCCUGGGGGGGGUUCCCUACAACUGAUCACCAAGCGUGGAACCACCAGCGGUGAAACUGGCGAGGGGAAGUGCACUUCCGUCCACACUUCCAGUUUUGCAGCUGGCGCUUCCAGGGGGUGCGCAGCCAAUCUCAGGGGGCGCACGUGCAUCCCUUAUGCAUCACCAAUUCUAGCUCGGAAAUCCAGGACUGUGGACUGAAGGAGCUGGACUUAGAUUUGGGGGCAGCUACAGGUUGCUGUUUGAGUGCUCUAUAAACUAAAGGCUUUUUGGGGAAACCUUGAGGAGUGCGUCCUGGGGAAGGGGGUGGAAUUAAGGUGCUUCCCUCCUUUUGUGUGUUCAUGUGUGACAAGGUAUUUAGCAGAAUUCACUGAUUUCAUUGCAAUCUGACAGGUCAUGCCAUGAGCACUGCUGCUGUAGCCUCAAACUUGUGAUCUCUGGGCUGUCAACCAUGCAUCACCCCAGCCCCCAUUAAGGUGAUGAGUAAAUGUUACCACAGUGUUGAUGUUUCUUUACCUUUUACCUGCUCCCUCCCUUUGGCCUGUUACCCUGUGACCCUAGUCCCUAUGAUUUUUCUAUAUAAAAAUGGAAACUCUCCCUUGCUUCUUGUUGGGCUACAGGUUGGCACAACAGCACUUUUGUAUGCCUGAAGAAGAGUGUGUGCACCCAGAAGCUUGCAAAUAAAGAAUAUUUUUUUGCAAAUAUCUAAGUUGAUCUAAUAAAAGAUUACUCUGUCAUGAGUUUUGAUUCCUUUUGCCUGUAGACUUGCAUCCCUGAAACAUGGUAGAUAUCGAAUUUAGCCAUUUUUUAAAUGAAAUUUUCAUAAUUUUAAAAGAAAAAAGCAAAAUCUAUCACCUGGAAACCUGAAAGCUGACACUUUGCUCCUGCCUGUUGUUGGAGAUAAAUCUGCAGUCUCACAGAGCUCAGAGGCACCUCAACACAAAAGAAAUUCCUUGCCCUGGAGAGCAUCCCAUCUCCCCACUCUCCAGUGAAAUAAGAAACAUCAUAACCAGAAGGAAACAAAAUUCUACAUCCUGCUUGCCACUGCACAACUUUGAAAUAGAAAGACUUUUAAAACUUUUAUUUGAGCCAAAUCUGCACAAAAUUAACCAUUCCAACCAGGAGAUUUUACAACACCUUCAGCUCUCCUGUGAAAUAUGAGAUUUCAUUUCUACCUAGGAGAAAUUUUACAAUCUUUGCAUUUUCCUAUGCCUGAAGAAGGGUGAGUAUGCCCAAAAGAUUGCAAAUAAAGGAACUGUUUUGAAAAUAUC